rnacentral:siRNA from 1 species
UAGCUCCAGCAAUCUUCUUCCUC